GACGUAGGAUGCAAGCGUUGUCCGGAAUUAUUGGGCGUAAAGAGUUCGUAGGCGGCAUAUCAAGUCUGGUGUUAAAACCCGAGGCUCAACCUCGGAUCGGCAUUGGAUACUGAUAAGCUGGAGUGCAGAAGAGGCAAGGGGAAUUCCCAGUGUAGCGGUGAAAUGCGUAGAUAUUGGGAGGAACACCAGUGGCGUAAGCGCCUUGCUGGGCUGUUACUGACGCUGAGGAACGAAAGCCAGGGGAG
rnacentral:rRNA from 1 species